UGGGGAAUAUUGCACAAUGGAGGGAACUCUGAUGCAGCGACGCCGCGUGAACGAAGAAGGCUUUCGAGUCGUAAAGUUCUUUUAUAUGGGAAGAUAAUGACGGUACCAUAAGAAAAAGCCCCGGCUAACUACGUGCCAGCAGCCGCGGUAAUACGUAGGGGGCUAGCGUUGUCCGGAAUCACUGGGCGUAAAGGGUUCGCAGGCGGAAAUGCAAGUCAGGUGUAAAAGGCAGUAGCUUAACUACUGUAAGCAUUUGAAACUGCAUAUCUUGAGAAGAGUAGAGGUAAGUGGAAUUUUUAGUGUAGCGGUGAAAUGCGUAGAUAUUAAAAAGAAUACCGGUGGCGAAGGCGACUUACUGGGCUCAUUCUGACGCUGAGGAACGAAAGCGUGGUAGCAAACAGG
rnacentral:rRNA from 1 species